rnacentral:rRNA from 1 species
GUCGAACGCGAACGAGUUCUUCGGAACUUUAGUAGAGUGGCGCACGGGUGAGUAACGCGUAAGUAAUCUACCCUCGCAUCUGGGAUAACCCACCGAAAGGUGUGCUAAUACCGGAUACGUCUAAGUUAAUAUCUUUUUUUUAGAGAAAGGUGGCCUCUGAUUCAAGCUACUGUGCGGGGAGGAGCUUGCGUACCAUUAGCUAGUUGGUAGGGUAACGGCCUACCAAGGCGACGAUGGUUAGCGGGUCUGAGAGGAUGAUCCGCCACACUGGAACUGAAACACGGACCAGACUCCUACGGGAGGCAGCAGUGAGGAAUAUUGCGCAAUGGGGGCAACCCUGACGCAGCGACGCCGCGUGGAUGAUGAAGGCCUUCGGGUUGUAAAAUCCUGUCAGAUGGGAAGAAGUGCUAUAUGGUUAAUAUCUGUAUAGUUUGACGGUACCAUCAAAGGAAGCACCGGCUAACUCCGUGCCAGCAGCCGCGGUAAUACGGAGGGUGCAAGCGUUGUUCGGAAUUACUGGGCGUAAAGCGCGCGUAGGCGGCUAUGUAAGUCAGAUGUGAAAGCCCGCGGCUCCACCGUGGAAGUGCAUUUGAAACUGUAUAGCUUGAGUACUGGAGGGGGUAGUGGAAUUCCCGGUGUAGAGGUGAAAUUCGUAGAUAUCGGGAGGAAUACCGGUGGCGAAGGCGACUACCUGGCCAGAUACUGACGCUGAGGUGCGAAAGCGUGGGGAGCAAACAGGAUUAGAUACCCUGGUAGUCCACGCCGUAAACGAUGUCAACUAGGUGUUGGAGUGGUUAAUCGCUUCAUUGCCGGAGCUAACGCAUUAAGUGACCGCCUGG